rnacentral:rRNA from 1 species
UACGUAGGAGGCAAGCGUUGUCCGGAGUUACUGGGCGUAAAGCGCACGCAGGCGGUCGCACCAGUCUGGGGUGACAGUUCCCGGCCUAACCGGGAAAGUGCUCUGGAAACUGUGCGACUUGAGGGCUUCAGAGGGAUGUGGAAUUCCAGGUGGAGUGGUGAAAUGCGUAGAGAUCUGGAAGAACACCAAAGGCGAAGGCAGCAUCCUGGGAAGUUCCUGACGCUCGGGUGCGAAAGCCAGGGGAGCGAACGGG